UUCGUCAUCAUGUGGGAGCUCCUCACCAGUGGGAACAGAGUCGGGACUGGGCCGGUCAGACAAGCAGCUCUCUGAGGAGCACUCGUCUCCAGCUCCCUGCUGCUGCCUGUACAGAUGGAGCACUGCUGUGCAUCCAAAGAGAGCAAAGAGGAGAAGAUGACCUCUGCCCACAUCACACUUUAUCUGAUACAAGGACUUGAUUUUUACCCAGCACUGAGCCUUGCAACGCCACUACACGUCAAUUACAUCCCUGACCUUCUUUAGACUGAUUUUUUUUUUUUUAUUUCUGUGGCAACCUGUGACGCGAGCUGCUACUCAAAUUUUAUGACAUUUUCACACUGAGUGAGAUUUGGUUCUUAGGCUGGUGCCGGCCUAAGAACCAAAUCUAUUUCCUGACUGCAGAACUGUUUUGCUGUUAACAGUUUUUCUUAAUGUCCAAAGAAACGUUCAACAGCAUAUAAACUGUAAAACUCACAGAGGCAUUUCUGAGUAUAGAGAAGCUAGGAAGAUGUAUUAUGUAGGACAUGAUAGCCUUAGAGCUGACGCGGUAAAACAUGUUAAAUGAAACAGCUGACUCUGGUACAGUAAAACCUCUGAUCAACAGUGAGCAUCUUUAACUUACAUCAAAAUCUAUGUUUUACAGCCUUGAAACUUUUUUCUAGGACACCACCUAGUUGCUUGGCAACCCACGCAUCCCUCGGCACUGAAAAUGAUGUUCGUCUGUGUGUGUGUGUGUCUGUGAGUGUGCUUGCAUGCCAACUUGCAUAUAAUAUUCCUACUUUAAAUGUAUGCUCUGUUCAAAAGAUAGUGCUUUUAUUUUAAUUCCCUCAUUUCUUUCAUUUUCUUUAUGCACCAAACUCUAAUCCAGAAGUGAAUAAAGACCUUCAGAAAUGCUAUUAAAUGUUAUUUUAAUUAUA